GAAAAGGGAAUGAAAUGAAAGUUGAAUUGCAUAGAAACGGGUUUAAUGAAUUUUGACCCCGGUAAUGCACUUUUGCAGGAUAAAAGUCCUAACGCGAAAUUGACCGCGUACAAACCUAAUUGAGGGUAAAACAAACGCGUUGGCGAAGUCGGUUCGGCAAUCCGUCGAGCCUACGCGAAGAUAUCGCCAAAAAACAUUUUCGGCUACAAUUGUCGCGAGCGCGGGUCGCGGUUCUCGAGAAAGUGCGGGAAGUGGAUUUCUCACGUUCAGGUAUCAGAUAAAGCCGAAAUACAAGUGUGGACUGAUUGUGCAGUGAGCAAGCAGUUUAGCAUCUGAUUAAGUGGCCGAAAUGAUGAGGAGGGCCAUUUGAAGCUGUGAACUAGUUGAUCCAGCAUCUAAUGAAGAAGAGGAUCAGUUCAUGCAGUGAACAAGUUUAUUCAACAUCAACUUACAAGUUGAAGCUGAAGUUGCAAUCCUUGUGGAACUUGGUGAAUUGCUGAAGCAGGGAGCCAGAAAUCAGCAAAGGAAAUCUGAAUUUGAGGUCGACGACACGUUACUUACAGUAGAGACCGUUCUAGUUCUAUUUGCACAGAGUCACGAGAGAUAGUUGUCGACACUUUUCGAGACAUUGAUCUUGGUCGAUUGACACCACUACAGGUUCCAAUGCGAGCGUUGUGGCCGAGGAUCGAGGUAAGAGCCCAGCAUCCUAGCUAGCUGACACCAGAGUUAUAGUUAUUUAACAUUUUGAGUUCAUGUAUCAUCUAUUUUGAUGUACAGAGACAUGUAAAUGAAUGUAUAUAAAGCAUGUAAUAACUAA